CUACGUGCCAGCAGCCGCGGUAAUACGGAGGGUGCGAGCGUUAAUCGGAAUAACUGGGCGUAAAGGGCACGCAGGCGGUGACUUAAGUGAGGUGUGAAAGCCCCGGGCUUAACCUGGGGAUUGCAUUUCAUACUGGGUCGCUAGAGUACUUUAGGGAGGGGUAGAAUUCCACGUGUAGCGGUGAAAUGCGUAGAGAUGUGGAGGAAUACCGAAGGCGAAGGCAGCCCUUUGGGAAUGUACUGACGCUCAUGUGCGAAAGCGUGGGGAGCAAACAGGAUUAGAUACCCUGGUAGUCCACGCUGUAAACGAUGUCGAUUUGGGGGUUGAGCUUUGAGCUUGGCGCCCGUAGCUAACGUGAUAAAUCGACCGCCUGGGGAGUACGGCCGCAAGGUUAAAACUCAAAUGAAUUGACGGGGGCCCGCACAAGCGGUGGAGCAUGUGGUUUAAUUCGAUGCAACGCGAAGAACCUUACCUACUCUUGACAUCCAGAGAACAUUC
rnacentral:rRNA from 1 species